UUGAACGCUGGCGGCAUGCUUUACACAUGCAAGUCGAGCGGCAGCGCGGGGGCAACCCUGGCGGCGAGCGGCGAACGGGUGAGUAACAUAUCGGAACGUACCCUGUCGUGGGGGAUAACACAGCGAAAGCUGUGCUAAUACCGCAUACGCCCUGAGGGGGAAAGCGGGGGACCUUCGGGCCUCGCGCGAUUGGAGCGGCUGAUGUCGGAUUAGCUAGUUGGUGGGGUAAAGGCCUACCAAGGCGACGAUCCGUAGCUGGUCUGAGAGGAUGAUCAGCCACACUGGGACUGAGACACGGCCCAGACUCCUACGGGAGGCAGCAGUGGGGAAUUUUGGACAAUGGGCGCAAGCCUGAUCCAGCAAUGCCGCGUGCAGGAAGAAGGCCUUCGGGUUGUAAACUGCUUUUGUACGGAGCGAAAAGGCUCUCUCUAAUACAGGGGGCUCAUGACGGUACCGUAAGAAUAAGCACCGGCUAACUACGU
rnacentral:rRNA from 1 species